UACGAAGGGGGCUAGCGUUGUUCGGAAUUACUGGGCGUAAAGCGCGCGCAGGCGGUCUUCCAAGUCAGUGGUGAAAGCCUGGAGCUCAACUCCAGAACUGCCAUUGAAACUGUUAGACUUGAGUACGAGAGAGGUGAGUGGAAUUCCCAGUGUAGAGGUGAAAUUCGUAGAUAUUGGGAAGAACACCAGUGGCGAAGGCGGCUCACUGGCUCGUAACUGACGCUCAGGCGCGACAGCGUGGGGACUCAAACAGG
rnacentral:rRNA from 1 species